AGCAGCCGCGGUAAUUCCAGCUCCAAUAGCGUAUAUUAAAGUUGUUGCAGUUAAAAAGCUCGUAGUUGAAUUUCGGGAUCAAUAUGUUGGUCGUGCCUCGGUACGUACUAGCAUAUUGGUUUUUCCUUCUGAAGAACCAUGAUGUCAUUUAUUUGGUGUCGUGGGGAAUCAGGACCGUUACUUUGAAAAAAUUAGAGUGUUUAAAGCAGGCUCACGCUUGAAUACAUUAGCAUGGAAUAAUGAAAUAGGACGUUUGAUUCUAUUUUGUUGGUUUCUAGGAUCGACGUAAUGAUUAAUAGGGAUAGUUGGGGGCAUUAGUAUUCAAUUGUCAGAGGUGAAAUUCUUGGAUUUAUUGAAGACUAACUACUGCGAAAGCAUUUGCCAAGGAUGUUUUCAUUAAUCAAAGAACGAAAGUUAGGGGAUCGAAGACGAUCAAAUACCGUCGUAGUCUUAACCAUAAACUAUGCCGACUAGGGAUCGGAUGGAUGUUAAUUUUUAAUGACUCAUUCGGCGCCUUACG
rnacentral:misc_RNA from 1 species